rnacentral:rRNA from 1 species
GACGAACGCUGGCGGCGUGCUUAACACAUGCAAGUCGAACGAGGAGCGACGGAAGCUUGCUUCUAUCAAUCUUAGUGGCGAACGGGUGAGUAACGCGUAAUCAACCUGCCCUUCAGAGGGGGACAACAGUUGGAAACGACUGCUAAUACCGCAUACGAUCUAAUCUCGGCAUCGAGGAUGGAUGAAAGGUGGCCUCUACAUGUAAGCUAUCACUGAAGGAGGGGAUUGCGUCUGAUUAGCUAGUUGGAGGGGUAACGGCCCACCAAGGCGAUGAUCAGUAGCCGGUCUGAGAGGAUGAACGGCCACAUUGGGACUGAGACACGGCCCAGACUCCUACGGGAGGCAGCAGUGGGGAAUCUUCCGCAAUGGACGAAAGUCUGACGGAGCAACGCCGCGUGAGUGAUGACGGCCUUCGGGUUGUAAAGCUCUGUUAAUCGGGACGAAAGGCCUUCUUGCGAAUAGUGAGAAGGAUUGACGGUACCGGAAUAGAAAGCCACGGCUAACUACGUG